rnacentral:rRNA from 1 species
GACGAACGCUGGCGGCGUGCCUAAUACAUGCCAGUUGAGCGCUGAAGGUUGGUACUUGUACCAACUGGAUGAGCAGCGAACGGGUGAGUAACGCGUGGGGAAUCUGCCUUUGAGCGGGGGACAACAUUUGGAAACGAAUGCUAAUACCGCAUAAAAACUUUAAACACAAGUUUUAAGUUUGAAAGAUGCAAUUGCAUCACUCAAAGAUGAUCCCGCGUUGUAUUAGCUAGUUGGUGAGGUAAAGGCUCACCAAGGCGAUGAUACAUAGCCAACCUGAGAGGGUGAUCGGCCACAUUGGGACUGAGACACGGCCCAAACUCCUACGGGAGGCAGCAGUAGGGAAUCUUCGGCAAUGGACGAAAGUCUGACCGAGCAACGCCGCGUGAGUGAAGAAGGGUUUCGGAUCGUAAAACUCUGUUGGUAGAGAAGAACGUUGGUGAGAGUGGAAAGCUCAUCAAGUGACGGUAACUACCCAGAAAGGGACGGCUAACUACGUG